rnacentral:tRNA from 1 species
GGCUCUGUAGCACAAUGGACAGCGCGUUGGACUUCUAGACAAGUGUAAGGCAUUCAAAGGUUGUGGGUUCAAAUCCCACCAGAGUCA